rnacentral:snoRNA from 1 species
GUGAGAGAUGACGAAAGAAAUCAUUCGGAUUCCCAUUGAUUUCCUUCGGGAAAUGAUGUGAUCAUUAACCAGCUACUUCUGAUUCAU